CCUACGGGAGGCUGCAGUGGGGAAUAUUGGACAAUGGGGGCAACCCUGAUCCAGCCAUGCCGCGUGUGUGAAGAAGGCCCUCGGGUUGUAAAGCACUUUCAGUGAGGAAGAACGCCUGGUGGUUAAUACCCAUCAGGAAAGACAUCACUCACAGAAGAAGCACCGGCUAACUCCGUGCCAGCAGCCGCGGUAAUACGGAGGGUGCGAGCGUUAAUCGGAAUUACUGGGCGUAAAGCGCGCGUAGGUGGCUUGAUAAGCCGGUUGUGAAAGCCCCGGGCUCAACCUGGGAACGGCAUCCGGAACUGUCAAGCUAGAGUGCAGGAGAGGAAGGUAGAAUUCCCGGUGUAGCGGUGAAAUGCGUAGAGAUCGGGAGGAAUACCAGUGGCGAAGGCGGCCUUCUGGACUGACACUGACACUGAGGUGCGAAAGCGUGGGUAACAAACAGGAUUAGAUACCCCGGUAGUC
rnacentral:rRNA from 1 species